rnacentral:rRNA from 1 species
CGCGGUAAUACUGGCAGAACAAGUGGUGCCCACGAAUAUUGGGUCUAAAGAGACCGUAGCUGGCCCGUUAAGUCCACUGUGAAAUCUUGGGGCUCAACCUCAAGGCGUGCAGUGGAUACUGGCGGGCUCGAGAGCGGGGGAGGUCAGGGGUACUUACGGGGUAUGAGUAAAAUCAGUUGAUCCUGUAAGGACCACCAGUGGCGAAGGCGCCUGACCAAAACGCGUCUGACAGUGAGGGUCGAAGGCUAGGAGAACAAAUCGGAUUAGAUACCCGAGUAGCCCUAGCAGUAAAUCAUGCAGACUGUGGUGUUGCCGCGGCUUCGGGCCACGGCAGUGCUGUAGCGUAGGUGUUAAGUCUGCCGCCUGGGGAGUACGGCCGCAAGGUUGAAACUUAAAGGAAUUGGCGGG